rnacentral:ncRNA from 1 species
AGGAAAUGUGAUGAAAAGGGAAUCAGGUGAAAAUCCUGAACAGUCCCGCUGCUGUAAUUCUCACAAAAGAUGGAGAUUAACAAAUACCCUCCGCCACUGAACCUGACGUUCGGGAAGGCGUUUUUUCUCCAGAGAUAAGUCAGAAGACCUGCCGUACAAAAU